rnacentral:rRNA from 1 species
UACGGAGGGUGCAAGCGUUAUCCGGAUUCACUGGGUUUAAAGGGUGCGUAGGAGGGCAGGUAAGUCAGUGGUGAAAUCUCUGAGCUUAACUCAGAAACUGCCAUUGAUACUAUGUUUCUUGAAUUUUCUGGAGGUCAGCGGAAUAUGUCAUGUAGCGGUGAAAUGCUUAGAUAUGACAUAGAACACCAAUUGCGAAGGCAGCUGGCUACAGGGAUAUUGACACUGAGGCACGAAAGCGUGGGGGAUCAAAACAGG